UAUAAUUUUCACUAUCCAGUUUUUCUAUGGAGUAUUGUGAACUCAUUUUGUUCAUUUUAUUGAAACACCACCGAAUUUCUAAAUAUUUAAUCUCUUCGAUUAUUACGCGCAAGUUUUAUAGCUUUCUUGGCCCAUAACCUAUACGGUUUGACGAUUUAUUGGAGACUGAACUGAAAAAUGCUGCACGCAGGCAGAACAAUAACUUAAGGAAGAGAGAGAAAAAGAACGCACCGUUACUUUCGUGCAAAAAAACCAAAAAAGAAUAAGAUAUACAGUGGUGCAUAUACUAAUAUUUUCAACAAUUUCUUUAUAGUGAAAUUAAAGUGGAGGCAUGCCAAAAAAUGCACAAGUCAGGCCAAAAAACUUUGGCUGCAGUAGCUGAAAAAGCCAAUGCUGUAAACUUUGUUCUGAAACAGAGCAUAAAGUACUGUCCAACGAUGAUCGGAAAAAUGUAAUAAGCAUUAUAGUGGACGAUGUUCAAGACAGAGGUAUGGCCAUCAAAACUACAGAUUUUUCAUUGUUAGUAGAGGAAAUAUGUACCUUAUUCCCAUCUAAAAACGAUAUAAAGGACUUUUACUUUAUUGUACGAGGCCUCGUAACAACGCGUCAGGAAAACUAUAUUCGCGAUAUAAAAAUAUGCGUAGCCGAAAGCUAUCUAAAAAGGUUAAGUUAACUACGAUGGAUGAGAAUUCUUCUAUUUAAGCUAAUUCACAUGUUUUUGAAAUCAACGAAUUUGAGGCGGCAGCAAAAAAAGCAUUGCUAAAUAGAGACUGCUCAGAUUGGGAUUUAGUCUGUGCCAACUGGAAAGAAACUUUUCCUCUUCGUCAGCGGGAGUCUAAGGAAAUGGACAGUGUAACAUUCUUUCAGGAGUGGACUAAAUUUAGCCACGCUAAAGUAACCGAUCUGAUUAACAUUGAUUUCAGUUUGCUAUACCCAAACAAGCAAAACUUGCUUUUUUUUCAAUGGGAUAACUUAAAAUCAGAGAUUUUCGCUUAUUAUAUGAAAAACAUAACAAAUGAGUACUGCAAGAAGCUGCUAACUCAAAUUGGCGAGACUUCCCACAUUGAUACGAAGGAAUAUCUUUAUACAAUUCUUCUCAAUGCUGUCGUUUUUCGGAUCAUAUAGGGAAAAAAACAGGAAGGCAAUGAUUUCAGAUUGUCAGGAGAGUAUGGUCCUCAAAUUGACCAAUCUGAACAACUACCAGACUAAAAUCAAUACGAUGAUAAGCCAAUACUACAACGCAGGAAUGAAGUUGCAGCCACUUUUAACAGUGGAAAGGUUGGAGGAUUCGGCCAUAAAAUCAUUUUAUGUUUAUUUUGACAAACGAUUGGUAAAGUUUUCUUCAUUCUUAGAAAGUUUUGAUAUGUGCUUCAAACUUUUCCAAGUACUGGGUCUUGAAUACCCAAAGCCUUCACAGCAAGCUUGGUUGCUCGUGCAAACAUUUUUUUUUAGCCUUGACACAAUCUAUGGUUCAAAAUCCUCAUCUCUGGCUUUGCUACUGAACUUUUUAAAAUCAUCUCAAUCUGUAUUAUUAUUACAACCUAUUUCGAUUUAUCAAAAAAAGCCAAAAUGUUUGUUUGCUUUAAAUGUUUCAAUUCUUUCGAUACUCCUCGAGAUUUGCUGAGCCAUUUCCGAAAAGUGCAUUGCUUAAAUAAAACCGCUUCAGUUCGUUGUGAGCAGAAUAACUGUCAUCAAAUUUUUACAAACCUC